ACAAAUUCGGUGAAGCGGAGUAGUAACCACAGAUCCCUGUUGCAGAAAGUUGACGGCAGCUGCGAGUCAAUACGGGAGCAAGGUGAACUCGCCGCGGAGGAGCCGCGUCAAAAGCGCGGACGCAUAACCGGCGUUACAGGUUUUGAGUGGCCGAGAUUUUUUUUCGGCAAUCAGGGUGGUACCGCGAAAGCUAUUUCGUCCCUGGC
rnacentral:ncRNA from 1 species